CCGCGGUUAUACAAAUUAUAUAAAUGAAUAUAAUUAGUUAUAGUUAAUUGAGUUAUUAUAUAAUGUAAAUUAUUAAUUUUUAGGUUAAAUUAUAAUUUAAUAUAUAAAUUAUAUAUUAAUAUAUGAAGCUAAUAAAAUUUUAUUAUAAACUAGGAUUAGAUACCCUAUUAUUAAAAUUAAAUUAGAAUAAACUUAGGUAGUAAUAGAUAUAUUCUUGAAACUUAAAAAAUUUGGCGGUGUUUUAGUCUAUUUAGAGGAACCUGUUCUGUAAUUGAUAAUCCACGAUAAAUUAUACUAGUUUUUGUUAAAUUUGUAUACCGUCGUUAUCAGAAUAUUUUAAAAGAAAAUAAUAUUCAAAAAAUUAAAAUUAAAUUUUAUUUCAGAUCAAGGUGCAGUUUAUAUAUUAGAAGAAAUGGGUUACAAUAAAAAUAUUUAUUAAUGGAUUAUUAAUUGAAAAAUUAAUAUAAAAGUGGAUUUAAUAGUAAUUUUAAAAGAAAUUUUUAAAAUGAUUAUAGCUCUAAAACAUGUACAUAUCGCCCGUCACUCUUUCUUUUAAAGAAAGAUAAGUCGUAACAUAGUAGAUGUACUGGAAAGUGUAUCUAGAAU
rnacentral:rRNA from 1 species